rnacentral:rRNA from 1 species
GACGAAGGAUGCAAGCGUUAUCCGGAUUCAUUGGGUUUAAAGGGUGCGUAGGCGGACCUGUGAGUCAGUGGUGAAAUCUCUCAGCUUAACUGAGAAACUACUAUUGAUACUGCAAGUCUAGUGUACAGAUGAUGUGGGCGGAAUAUGACAUGUAGUGGUGAAAUACUUAGAUAUGUCAUAGAACGCCGUUUGCGAAGGCAGCUCACAAAACUGUAACUGACGCUGAGGCACGAAAGUGCGGGGAUCAAACAGG